UUCUAGUGUUCUUUCUAUGUUCACAUUAAACUCCACUUCCAGAUUUUGGUUUCAUGCAUGAGGUAAUAUUAUAGCAAAUCUUUGUUAUUUGUGAUAACUUGUUGAUUCUGGUUAGUUCGUACAUAUAUCCCUGUUUAAUUUUAAUUUAUUUCAUACAAAAACUGUGGUAUUUAACUGUUCAAUAGUAACACAAGCCUAUUCUAUAUUUGUUUUGCCUAAUACUCAUAUGUUUGACUGUUCUCCACCUCGAAUCAUUUUUGGGCAGACUUAAUCAACUGCGAGUACUUGUUGAUUUUGGUAAUUUCAAUACGUAACUCUCUGAUUAUUGCAUACUGCAUUACCCUUAUUUAAUUCUGCCUCUCAUUUAAAUUGGAACAACUUGUAUAUAAUUAGCUUGAUAAUGCUUGAACUUUGGGAUUUGUAGUAGGUCCUGUUAAGCUAUUGAUUUUGUCUUUGAGUCAUUACCUCCAUCUCCUUUCUCGAAUUAUACACUGGUUUUGAUGAGACUCUAAUCAUAUUCAGGCAUCUAUUUGGUUAGGUAAUUAUGGAAGAUUUCAUGAAUCAGUGGUUCUUGAACAUGGAAGUUCAAAAUGUCAAAGAGUGCCUGGGUUGGGGAUACAUCGGAAAGAGUGUUUACAUAGAGUUUUCUUUAUGUUGUAUUUCUUUAAAGUAUUACUUUUAUUCAGCCAUGUAAUAAUUGUAUAAGCAUUGCUCUCUAUAUAAUAAAAGAACUUGGGGAUUGUUUAAGGAA